rnacentral:sRNA from 1 species
UCCCGAUGAGGCGGCGCGCCGCCUAUAUA